AUCCGGUGAGAGAUAGCUGUCAGUAGAGCUUGAGACUCACAAUCUCAGGGUUGUGGGUUCAAGCCCCAUAUUGGACA